rnacentral:tRNA from 1 species
UGUGUAGUAGUGUAUGCCGCACGCGGGCCUUUGAUCCCCGAAGAAAGGGUUAAACCCCCCUCUCCACAA